AUUGAACGCUGGCGGCAUGCCUUACACAUGCAAGUCGAACGGCAGCGGGGAUUUCGGUCCGCCGGCGAGUGGCGAACGGGUGAGUAAUGUAUCGGAACGUACCAUUGAGUGGGGGAUAACGUAGCGAAAGUUACGCUAAUACCGCAUAUUCUCUCCGGAGGAAAGCAGGGGACCGCAAGGCCUUGCGCUCUUUGAGCGGCCGAUAUCAGAUUAGCUAAUUGGUGGGGUAAAAGCUCACCAAGGCGACGAUCUGUAGCGGGUCUGAGAGGAUGAUCCGCCACACUGGAACUGAGACACGGUCCAGACUCCUACGGGAGGCAGCAGUGGGGAAUUUUGGACAAUGGGGGCAACCCUGAUCCAGCCAUGCCGCGUGAGUGAAGAAGGCCUUCGGGUUGUAAAGCUCUUUCGGCCGGGAAAAAAUCGCAUGGGUUAAUACCCUGUGUGGAUGAUGGUACCGGAAUAAGAAGCACCGGCUAACUACGUGCCAGCCGCCGCGGUAA
rnacentral:rRNA from 1 species